rnacentral:rRNA from 1 species
GACGAACGCUGGCGGCGUGCUUAACACAUGCAAGUCGAACGGAAAGGCCCCCUUGGGGGUACUCGAGUGGCGAACGGGUGAGUAACACGUGAGUAACCUGCCCUUGACUUCGGGAUAACUUCAGGAAACUGGGGCUAAUACCGGAUAGGAAUCCUUGCUGCAUGGUGGGGGUUGGAAAGCUUCGGCGGUUUUGGAUGGACUCGCGGCUUAUCAGCUUGUUGGUGGGGUAGUGGCUUACCAAGGCUUUGACGGGUAGCCGGCCUGAGAGGGCGACCGGCCACAUUGGGACUGAGAUACGGCCCAGACUCCUACGGGAGGCAGCAGUGGGGAAUAUUGCACAAUGGGCGGAAGCCUGAUGCAGCAACGCCGCGUGCGGGAUGACGGCCUUCGGGUUGUAAACCGCUUUCAGCAGGGGCGAAGCUUGUGGUGACGGUACCUGCAGAAGAAGCACCGGCUAACUACGUG